UACAGAGGUCCCGAGCGUUGUUCGGAUUCACUGGGCGUAAAGGGUGCGCAGGUGGGUUUGCAAGUUUGAUGUGAAAGCCCCGGGCUUAACCCGGGAAUGGCAUUGAAUACUGCAGAUCUGGAGGAUUGGAGGGGGGACUGGAAUUCUUGGUGUAGCAGUGAAAUGCGUAGAUAUCAAGAGGAACACCAGUGGCGAAGGCGAGUCCCUGGACAAUACCUGACACUGAGGCACGAAAGCCGGGGGAGCAAACAGG
rnacentral:rRNA from 1 species